rnacentral:rRNA from 1 species
UACGUAGGGCGCAAGCGUUGUCCGGAAUUAUUGGGCGUAAAGAACUCGUAGGCGGUUUGUCACGUCGGAUGUGAAAGCCCGGGGCUUAACCCCGGGUCUGCAUUCGAUACGGGCAGACUAGAGUGUGGUAGGGGAGAUCGGAAUUCCUGGUGUAGCGGUGAAAUGCGCAGAUAUCAGGAGGAACACCGGUGGCGAAGGCGGAUCUCUGGGCCAUUACUGACGCUGAGGAGCGAAAGCGUGGGGAGCGAACAGG